GGGGGCGAGCGGCGGGCUACACAUGCAGUCGAGCGCUUCACUUCGGUGAAGAGCGGCGAACGGGUGAGUAACACGUAGCUUUUCUGCCCUUUGGUGGGGAAUAACCCGGGGAAACCCGGGCUAAUACCGCAUACGGUCUACGGAUCAAAGCCUUCGGGCGCCAGAGGAUGAGCCUGCGGCCCAUUACCUAGUUGGUGGGGUAACGGCCUACCAAGGGAACGAUGGGUAGCUGGUCUGAGAGGAUGAUCAGCCACACUGGGUCUGAGACACGGCCCAGACUCCUACGGGAGGCAGCAGUGGGGAAUAUUGCGCAAUGGGCGAAAGCCUGACGCAGCCACGCCGCGUGUGUGAUGAAGGCCUUCGGGUCGUAAAGCACUGUCGGGAGGGAAGAAGAUCUGACGGUACCUCCCAAGAAAGCACCGGCUAACUCCGUGCCAGCAGCCGCGGUAAUACGGAGGGUGCAAGCGUUGCUCGGAAUCACUGGGCGUAAAGCGUACGCAGGCGGCCUAUUAAGUCGGGUGUGAAAGCCCGGAGCUCAACUCCGGAACUGCGCCCGAUACUGGUAGGCUUGAAUACGGGAGAGGGAAGCGGAAUUCCUGGUGUAGAGGUGAAAUUCGUAGAUAUCAGGAGGAACACCAGUGGCGAAAGCGGCUUCCUGGCCCGAUAUUGACGCUCAUGGACGAAAGCGUGGGUAGCAAACAGGAUUAGAUACCCUGGUAAUCCACGCCCGAAACGAUGAGUGGUAGCUGCUGGGAAUGGUUACCGUCUCAAUGGGCAAGCUAACGCAUUUAGCACUCCCCCGGGGAAGUACGGGCGGCAGGGCUAAAACUCAAA
rnacentral:rRNA from 1 species